AUAAAUAAAUAGUUUAUAUAUAUAUAUAUAUAGAGUUGAUCUAGGAUACUUUUACAAGUAUCAUCCUCAUAUUGCUAUCACGUUUUUAGUCAUUGGAUCUACUUUUUGAUUACAAAUAGCCCUUGGAUCAAACACUAUUCCACCUACCACCACCUACCCCCAUCAUCUCAACCUCACAUCUCUUCAUCCAAGGGCUAAAAACACACAAGUAUCACUUGUGUGAUAUUUGUAAAAGUAUUUUAGCCCUACUCUAUAUAUAUAUAUAUAUA
rnacentral:lncRNA from 1 species